rnacentral:rRNA from 1 species
AACGAACGCUGGCGGCAGGCUUAACACAUGCAAGUCGAACGGGUGUAGCAAUACAUCAGUGGCAGACGGGUGAGUAACACGUGGGAACCUUCCUCGUUGUACGGAACAACUCAGGGAAACUUGAGCUAAUACCGUAUACGUCCGAGAGGAGAAAGAUUUAUCGCAAUGAGACGGGCCCGCGUCGGAUUAGGUAGUUGGUGGGGUAACGGCCUACCAAGCCUACGAUCCGUAGCUGAUCUGAGAGGAUGAUCAGCCACACUGGGACUGAGACACGGCCCAGACUCCUACGGGAGGCAGCAGUGGGGAAUCUUGGACAAUGGGCGCAAGCCUGAUCCAGCCAUGCCGCGUGAGUGAAGAAGGCCUUCGGGUUGUAAGGCUCUUUUGUCAGGGACGAUAAUGACGGUACCUGAAGAAUAAGCCCCGGCAAACUUCGUGCCAGCCGCCGCUGUAACAC